AUAUCAAUAAGCGGAGGAAAAGAAACCAACCGGGAUUGCCUCAGUAACGGCGAGUGAAGCGGCAAAAGCUCAAAUUUGAAAUCUGGCCCUGUGGUCCGAAUUGUAAUUUGAAGAAGCGACUCUGGUACCGGCCCUUGUCUAUGUUCCUUGGAACAGGACGUCACAGAGGGUGAGAAUCCCGUGCGAUGGGGAGUCCGGAGCCAUGUAGAGCGUUUUCGACGAGUCGAGUUGUUUGGGAAUGCAGCUCUAAGUGGGUGGUAAAUUCCAUCUAAAGCUAAAUACAGGCGAGAGACCGAUAGCGAACAAGUACUGUGAAGGAAAGAUGAAAAGAACUUUGAAAAGAGAGUGAAAAAGUACGUGAAAUUGUUGAAAGGGAAGGGCUUGGGAUCAGACUUUGUAUUUCCAUGGCGUUCUUUCGGGAGCGUCCUCUGGGUUUACGGGGCCAGCAUGGGUUCUGCGGGCAAGACAAGGGGGCCAGGAACGUGGCUCUGCUUCGGCGGAGUGUUAUAGCCUGGACUUUCGGUUGCCACGCGGGACUGAGGACUGCGAAUCUAGGAUGCUGGCAUAAU
rnacentral:rRNA from 1 species